GAAUCUAGAAUUACUUGCCUAGAAUAUCUUAGAAUUCCUUGGUAAGCAAGUAUUAUAAAAAAUUAGAAUUGUCUAGAUUCCACUAGAGUAACUUGAACACCAAAAAACCUUGUAUAGGUUGUAGACACUUGAAUAGGUUGUAGACACUUGUAGAAUUCUCUAGAAGAUAUGAUAAGAGUCUAUAAAUAGGGCAUGAUCCCUCAUUUGUUAGUAAGAAAAAAGAAGCUAGACAAAGCUCAAGUUAUUGUAAGCUAUCAUUAUUCUAAUAAAAUUCCUUUCUCCUAC
rnacentral:lncRNA from 1 species